rnacentral:rRNA from 1 species
UCCUAGGCCCAAAAUAUCCUAAAGGUAUCAGGCUGUGUCUGAACUUUGAAGCUAAGCAGGUUCUAUCCUGGUUAGUACUUGGAUGGGAGAGCAUAAAAGAAUAUCUGGUGCUAUGGGCU